rnacentral:rRNA from 1 species
GUGGGGAAUAUUGGACAAUGGGCGCAAGCCUGAUCCAGCCAUGCCGCGUGUGUGAAGAAGGCCUUCGGGUUGUAAAGCCCUUUUGUCCGGGAAGAAAUCUUCCGAGCCAAUACCUCGGGAGGAUGACGGUACCGGAAGAAUAAGCACCGGCUACCUUCGUGCCAGCAGCCGCGGUAAUACGAAGGGUGCAAGCGUUACUCGGAAUUACUGGGCGUAAAGCGUGCGCAGGCGGCGUCGCAAGUCAGGCGUGAAAUCCCCGGGCUUAACCUGGGAAUGGCGCUUGAAACUACGAUGCUGGAGUAUGGCAGAGGGAGGUGGAAUUCCACGUGUAGCGGUGAAAUGCGUAGAUAUGUGGAGGAACACCGAUGGCGAAGGCAGCCUCCUGGGCCAAUACUGACGCUCAUGCACGAAAGCGUGGGGAGCAAA